rnacentral:rRNA from 1 species
UACGAAGGGGGCUAGCGUUGCUCGGAAUUACUGGGCGUAAAGGGCGCGUAGGCGGCCGCCUAAGUCAGACGUGAAAUCCCUCGGCUCAACCGGGGAACUGCGUCUGAUACUGGGUGGCUUGAAUCCGGGAGAGGGAUGUGGAAUUCCAGGUGUAGCGGUGAAAUGCGUAGAUAUCUGGAGGAACACCGGUGGCGAAGGCGGCAUCCUGGACCGGCAUUGACGCUGAGGCGCGAAAGCUAGGGGAGCAAACGGG